rnacentral:lncRNA from 1 species
UGAACGGAUUCCGCAUAUUUGACCAUUAGUUGACAAGAAAAGUUGACCUGGACCAUAUUUUGACCAAUAUUUAAUGGACAAAAUGGUAAAUUUAUAUUUUCUAUAAUAAAACAAUUGAUAACCAAAAAAGAAAAAGAAAAUAUGCACCCCCCCGCCCCGCCGGGACGCCCACACCCCUCUUACUCUUCUUUCCAAAUUGAGUUUCCUUGCUUUAUUUAUGAGUCAUAAACUUCCACUGCUUCCCAUCAUCGCUUACGCCAGUUGCUUUCAGAGAUCAACACACGCAUUUCACCAUCUCUUUCCCAAUAUGAAUUUCCCAUGGAUUUUGCUUUAAUAAUCUUGAAACCCAGUGGGGAGCCUAAAGGUGAACUCAUUUUUUUCAUACUGGUUUAUUGAGAUAGUUGCGGGUUGAUUUGUGGAGGAGCCACCAUUUCCGUCGCCUGUUGCAACAAAAGUUGAAGAUUGUAAGCCUAUUACCGCUUUUCCAACGAAUUCGAUGAUAGCGGGACCCAGUUCUAUGUAUCCUCCACCGCCAGCUGUAGGGUAUUUAUCCAAUGGCUAAAGAAAUGCACAAUAUCCACCCUGUCGUCCACAUGGCGUGGAUCAGCAAUGUAGCAAUUGGGAUCACACACUUGGAUGUGUGGGUUCUGAACAACCUUCACAUCAUUUACACAGUUCGAUUCCACUACCAAGAUGUCCAAACUGUGAGCUCUAGCAAAGUGUAAGCCUUCCAAGACUGUAACAUUCUGCCAAAUAAGAGGCAAUGCUACUGUGAAAAGACUUUUAGAAGCUAACGGCUAGCUAUUACCAGACCUUUAUAGUUAACAAACCACUCCAAUAAUGCUAUAGCUCUUGCCGGCCACUUGUAAAACAACAUUUGCUUUCAACUCCAGGCAAUUUAAUGUCAGUCGCUACCAAGGUGGGAAUAACAGAAGCAGAUGACGGCCUGUUAAUAUUGUCUGGAACCCGGAUAGCUUUGGAUUAUGUCUGAUAUUUGAUUUGGGGGUUUUUGUUGGGUCACCCCAAAAGAAAAUAUGAAGUCAAAAGAGAAACAGUAACUGCUUAUCGUGGGAAAGAAAGACAGGUUGCGAGUGAAUUUAGCAAAAUUCAGGUACAUGAUUGACGCUUCAGUUGCCAUCUCUGAAGGGAAGUGGUAGUGGCAGCACGUGGGUGGGUGGUUAUCUCAUUUUUGCGUGGGGGAGCAGAUUUUCUUUUUAUUUUUUGGUUAGUUGUUUUAAUUUCAUUGGAGAAAAUGUCAAUAUACCAUCUCACGCUUUUAAUAUUGGUCGAAAUAUAGUUCAAGUCAACUUUUUUGAUAAGUUAAUGAUCAAACGAAAUGAAAAGUUUGGGAUUAUGGGUGGCACAAAUGAAAGAUUUGGUUAAAGUCUACAAAAGAAUGAAAGAUUUGGGAUUGCAACUACAAUAAUCCCUUUUAACUAAGCCUCAAUGUGUUCCACAGCAAACAAAGAUGUAGACUUCAAUGGUCAUAUUUGAGGAAACAGAAUUUGGCUCAGAGGGAGCAAGGAACAUCACAAUAAAGACUGUUACUUUAGUUGGCAAUUUACAUACCAGAAUAAAUUGCAGCUUCUUGGUAAGAAAUAAAGGCAAACAAAAGCACUCAACUCCCCUGUAGAUGAUAUUGGGCAUUCAUAUGACUUCCUUUUAUGGUUAUUUGUAACCCUAAAGGUCUCUCUCUUUUUGCAAUUUGAGGCCUAAAAGGCUCCAUGAGAAAGGAAAAAAAAAUUAAAUUAUACAAUUAUCUUAUAGUAUUAAAAUCCAAUAUCGAGGAAAGAAAAUCCUAGAAAAGUAAUAUCAGAAAAUUUAAAUAACAAAUAAUAAUACAUUAAAUAAUUGAAAUUGGCAUGAGUUUCUUGUUCUACGUCAAGGCAGUUUGAAUUAAUUAUAAUAUUUGUUUGCCCUGUUCAUUCCAUGUUUAUUACAUUUAUUAAAUGAUUUAAACCCUUUGUAAAUGACAAUGGCCAUUUUUUUUGUGACAAGAUGAUGAUAUCAACUUACCAAUGACUGCCCCAUAAUGAAUAUUCGCUUAAGGUUCUUCACCCGUUAGGAUCUCCCACAGUGCUAUGCCAAAUGAAUAUACAUCAACCUGUCGAAAGCCAAAUCAUAUGUCUGGUUCUUGAUACCAUGAUUGAUUGACUUAUAUCAGUAAGAUACCCCAUAGAAGAUAUUUAUAGUAGAUUUUUGACCUUUUCGGAUACCCGGCUAUUUCUCCCAUCCAACAGUUCUGGCGCCAUCCGAGGAAGGGUUCCUUGCACACCUUCAGAUACCAUUGUAUUUUGUUUGAUUCUUGAUAGCCCAAAAUCUCCAACCUACCAAAACUUUCUUAGUCACUCCCAGUUCAUACCAGAGGAAAUGUAUGAUUUCUCCCAAAAGUGGAAUUGUUCACAUCCAUCCAUGUGAAUCCCAUCUUCCUGCGCAGCAAUCUGUGGUUUCCAACACAUAUAUAAAGAAGC